AUUGAACGCUGGCGGCAGGCCUAACACAUGCAAGUCGAACGAGUGGCGGACGGGUGAGUAAUGUCUGGGAAACUGCCCGAUGGAGGGGGAUAACUACUGGAAACGGUAGCUAAUAACGCAUACCAUCGGAUGUGCCCAGGUGGGAUUGGCUUGUUGGUGGGGUAACGGCUCACCAAGGAUACGAUCCCUAGCUGUUCUGAGAGGAUGACCAGCCAAACUGGAACUGAGACACUGUCCAGACUCCGACGGGAGGCAGCAGGGGGGAAUAUUGCACAAUGGGCGCAAGCCUGAUGCAGCCAUGCCGCGUGUAUGAAGAAGGCCUUCGGGUUGUAAAGUACUGUCAGCGGGGAGGCGUUACUCGCAGAAGAAGCACCGGCUAACUCCGUGCCAGCAGCCGCGGUAAUUC
rnacentral:rRNA from 1 species